rnacentral:lncRNA from 1 species
CCUGUUGUAGUUCCUGGACGCGGCAGAGCUGCGAGUCGUAGUCUGAGUCAGAGCGGAUGUGAGUGGCUCUGUAGACAGAGAAAUCCGCUUGUAUCUUCACCACACUCUCCUCCUGUUCCUCCACCUGAGAGAGGCACACAGGAACAAACAGAGUGCACAGAUAUAUCUGUUGACAGACCGGUACAGAAACACUGUCAUGCGGUUGACUUUAGUAGGUCUCUCCUCCCAUUUCCUUCCUGUGUUGUGUAGUUGAGUGGUGAGAGGUAGAGACAGAAGGGACUGGCUGGAUCUCUGUGAGACUAUGGUUGAAGGGCAGACUGCAUGGGGUCCUGCUGUCUGACUGUGGGUGAGGCAGGAUGGGGGUCACUAUGAGACUGUAAGUUUGGGGCUGAGGUGCUGGGUGAGUUCACACUAAUGAAACAGAGACAGGCAAACAGAACGUUUCCCCUCAGUCUCUCCCGUCUGCACGCUGUGCUGGGCCUGAUGGCUCGUGACUGGAGCACAUUCUGCUUCUCACAGAUGACUUGGUCUGUCUGAGACACACACACACACACACACACACACACACACACACACACACACACACACACACACACACACACACACACACACACACACACACACACACACAAUGUCCUAUUGGGUGUCAGUGGUUUGUCAGGAUUACUUUGUGCUGCUGCACUUAUAAAACACUCCCAAAUGGCCUCUAAGUUUAUGAGGAUAAUAUAUCUGAAUACGGUGUUCCUCUCAUUACCCACUGUUGUUGUUUGUUGUCUAUGUUUUCCAGACAGCCUUCACUGCAGCGUGUCUGUAGUGUUCAUAAAGCCAGGGGCCGUUACAGGCAGGAUGAAGAUGGAGUGAGAGGUGGUGAAAUCAGCUAGUUGUAUUGAUGUCUCAGAGCAGACUCAGAGCGAUCGGCUCAUUAAAUGAAAUCAGACUCUCUCUCUCUCUCUCUCUCUACCUCCCUCUCUCACACAGACAUACACACACCCCAGUUUCCAGACAACAAAUGUAAACUUGGGAAAGAGGUAAAGAAACACUGGUGUGAAAAAAUAACUUGGCAGGAAGUGAUCACUUAAAAGUCUGAACCGAGCGGGUGGUGUGUCGUGCUGUGUGCUCUAAGGACCCAGCUGAGGAUGGGAGAGAUCAAUACUGUGAGUGUGUGUGUGAUUGAGAGCCUCUGUGUUGCCAAUGGAGCUCUGCUGUGUGGGAGGGGGUGUUGUUAGGGACCCAGGUGGUGGUGGUGGUGGUGGGGGGGGGGGUAAGAGCUGGAGGUGAUGGGAACGGCGCCUCCAUUGUGGGCUCACAGAAGGAGGUAAACGCCCAACUGCAUCUCCAGCCACCUCCACACCACAUAAACGCUGAGCUCCACUGGGCACGGCCGCCAUUAUUUUAGACACAUAUCGCAUCCCCAGCAUGAUUUUCCACUUUGCUUCUUCCGUGCAUGGAGCUGUCAACCACCCCGUGUCUCACACACACAUGCAUGCACACAACCACACACACCCAAACAAGUCCAAAAAUCAAUUCUUCCUCUCCACUGCUCUGCCCUUGUAAUCCAGUCUUCCCCUCCUCUCUGCUUCCUGCUGCCUGCCAUUAACGGCUGUGCUCCGUGCUGUGCUCUGUGCUGUACUCUGUGCUGUCCAGGGGGCUCACACUGCCUGUGUUUUCUCAUUGUGUUUCCUCCUGUAUGGGGGCCAUGACGCCGAUCAAUAGGAAUCAGUGAAAACACUUCCAGAGGUCCCCAGGCCUCCGACUCCCAGUGUGUUGUACCCUGUCUGACUCCACCCGUUUACAGAUCAGGAGCAGAGACUUACCUACAGAGGUGUGGCGCGACAACUGACCUGCAUGUAGCUUCACUCACCUGAGAGGCCAGUUGGGUAUACUACAGUGCUAGUACUACUUGACUGGCUUUGACUUAGCCGCAUGAGUGGCACUGUUCCAGGUAGCAGGGGUAGUGAGCAGGAUGAGUGGGCCUGACUGUGUAGAGGGAAACCACUGAGUGGACUAGUAUGUUAAUCUAUGUUUGUAGUGAAAAGGGAGUGAUCAGCACAGCGUGACCGGGUUUGUCUGUGGACGAGUCUGUCAUUGGGAAGCUACAUCCCUGUGGAUGAGGCUCGGCCUGACUGACUGGCCUAACUGGUCUGACUGACUGACUGUCUGUCCGACCUGUCGUCUCAAUGCAGCGGUGCUGUCUCUCAUAGUGCUGAUGACCAUCUCACACUCCUGGCUGUGUUUGUGGCUGUCCUCCAGGUCUCUCUGGGUGUCUCGGAGGUGCUGGCUCAGGGCGUCAUCCCCGCUCUCCAGCUGGGCACUGUGGGCCUUCAGCUCCCCCUGCAACACCACCGCCUGGGCACACAGAUGCAGCACAUGCUCGUCCUGCUCCACCACCUGGGAC